UACGAAGGGGGCUAGCGUUGCUCGGAAUCACUGGGCGUAAAGCGCACGUAGGCGGACUCUUAAGUCGGGGGUGAAAUCCUGGAGCUCAACUCCAGAACUGCCUUCGAUACUGGGAGUCUUGAGUUCGGGAGGGGUGAGUGGAACUGCGAGUGUAGAGGUGAAAUUCGUAGAUAUUCGCAAGAACACCAGUGGCGAAGGCGGCUCACUGGCCCGAUACUGACGCUGAGGUGCGAAAGCGUGGGGAGCAAACAGG
rnacentral:rRNA from 1 species